CACGAACGCUGGCGGCAGGCUUAACACAUGCAAGUCGAGCGCCCCGCAAGGGGAGCGGCAGACGGGUGAGUAACGCGUGGGAAUCUACCCAUCUCUACGGAAUAACGCAUGGAAACGGGUGCUAAUACCGUAUACGUCCUUCGGGAGAAAGAUUUAUCGGAGAUGGAUGAGCCCGCGUUGUAGUAGCUAGUUGGUGGGGUAAAGGCCUACCAAGGCGACGAUCCAUAUCCGGUCUGAGAGGAUGAUCAGCCAAACUGGGACUGAGACACGGCCCAGACUCCUACGGGAGGCAGCAGUGGGGAAUAUUGGACAAUGGGCGCAAGCCUGAUCCAGCCAUGCCGCGUGAGUGAUGAAGGCCCUAGGGUUGUAAAGCUCUUUCACCGGUGAAGAUAAUGACGGUAACCGGAGAAGAAGCCCCGGCUAACUUCGUGCCAGCAGCCGCCGUAAAAC
rnacentral:rRNA from 1 species